UACGUAGGGUGCAAGCGUUGUCCGGAAUUAUUGGGCGUAAAGAGCGUGUAGGCGGCCUGAAAGGUCAGCUGUGAAAACUCGAGGCUCAACCUCGAGACGUCGGUUGAAACCAUCUGGCUAGAGUCCGGAAGAGGAGUGUGGAAUUCCCGGUGUAGCGGUGAAAUGCGCAGAUAUCGGGAAGAACACCCGUGGCGAAGGCGGCACUCUGGGACGGUGCUGACGCUGAGACGCGAAAGCGUGGGGAGCGAACAGG
rnacentral:rRNA from 1 species